CCUACGGGGGGCUGCAGUAAGGAAUAUUGGUCAAUGGACGGAAGUCUGAACCAGCCAUCCCGCGUGCAGGAAGAAGGUCCUAUGGAUUGUAAACUGCUUUUAGCAGAGACGAAACGCCUUCAUUUAUGGGGGUUUGACGGUAUCUGCGGAAUAAGCACCGGCUAACUCCGUGCCAGCAGCCGCGGUCAUACGGAGGGUGCAGGAGUUAUCCGGAAUCACUGGGUUGAAGGCGGGCGUAGACGUCAGUGGAGAAAGCCUGUAGCUUAACUACAGAAUUGCCAUUGAUACUGAUGUUCUUGAAUUGGGUUGAGGUUAGCGGAAUGUGACAUGUAACGGUGAAAUGUUUAGAUAUGUCAUGGAACACCGAUUGCGAAGGCAGCUAGCUGGGCCUUGAUUGACGCUGAGGCACGAAAGCGUGGGUAGCGAACAGGAUUAGAUACCCCUGUAGUC
rnacentral:rRNA from 1 species